ensembl:lncRNA
ACCAAACACAGCAUCCACCUGGCUCCUUUUGAGCUUGGAUCAUUCUCACAGCCCCAGUGGCCGAGCCAGCCCUCUCUCAUUCUGUCCUUGUUAAAGUGGCUUCAUUUUUCAAUAUAACUGUGGGACCUUCCUUUUCAUUCCUGUUUUCUGCCAGGAGAAUGGAUCAUAAUCUGACCAUAAAGGGAAAUUCUAACCUGAAGGCUUCUGACCAUGGAGGAGAGAACUUCCCAACAGCAAAGAGUGACGGGACUUCCUAGGGGCCAAGAAUCAAAAGUGUGUUCUUGGCCUCCACACUGGCUCAAUGGUGAUGUGGAAUUUACCUCACCACAGUCUUGGGAAGAUUCGAGGAGGGGAAAGGGCCUUCUGGAGAGGGGAUAUUAUAACUUUGAAUGGACAGCUAAAGGACUACAUAAUUUUAGAAACUUCUUCCAAAAAACCACAUUGAUUUUCAGGAAAUUAGCUCUUUUGUUGACAGCUGGUGGCUACUGAGUGCCCAAGCUUGCAUGGUCUCUCCAAAUCAAUGGCCAGCCACCCAUGUUUUGCUUGAGGGCCCCAACCCCUCAGCAUGGCUGUCAACUCCAUCGUCCCGGGCCCAGGCAAUAUGGCACCCUCCACUGGGAUCCUUUCAGAGUGUUGCCACUUCACCAAGGACCUGGGUCUUGCUAGUCUUGACCCUACCAACCUCUCUCCUUUUCCCUCCUGAAGCCCCUAAAGACAACUCCUCAAGGAAUUCCAAAAGAAACAGCCACUGAUGUUAAGCGGACUUAUCUUCAAACCUUCCCGGAGGAGAGACUGCUCAGAGCCUCUCUGAGUGCAUGAAAUGGAGUGGAAAAUAUAAGAUGAAAACAAAGCUUGUACAUCCAUGGAUUAGCCCACCACGAUUAUAACUGUGUGCCCAAGGAAUAAGCCGCAAGCCAAUUCACUGACCAAAGCCAUGUUGGCUGGGGACUGCAGACCUGAACACAGCCUCCCUUUUCUCUUCCACACGCAGCUCCAGGACACUUGCCUGCCUGAGCAGAUGUUGUUGGGAUCUGUAGGUGACCAAGUAUGAGUGAGUUCCGCAGGAGUCCCUAAACUCAGAGCCAUCUACUGGAAGUUGGACACAGAGCCCAGAGAAAGAAUGAAGGAG